GGACAAUCCAGAUAAAGUGAGCACCCCAAGAAUGGAGAACAUUUUGCAGGGACCCUCUGGAUGCCAACAACCAGAAUCUCAUCAAGAUGGACAGCAACCAACUGCCCAGGAUCAGUUAAAAUCUUCACAGAAUCUG